rfam:Zootermopsis nevadensis contig20286, whole genome shotgun sequence.
GCCACGGUGGUCUAGCGGUUAGAACGCUGGCCUUGUAAUCCUGGGGUCUCGGGUUUGAUUCCCGGCGGUGCCC